AUCAACCAGUGAAACAGCUUGCCUUCAGAAGCUGUGGAUGCUACAACACUGGAGGCCCUUAAGAAAGGCCUGGACAACCAUUAUAUAAAAUAGUAUAGGGUCUCCUUCUUGAGCAGAUUAUUAUCCUCCAAGUAUUGUUCAGAAGAAGAUAACACAUGUAUACAGCCUACUUGUAGUAGAGAGAUGGAGUUUCUUAAGAAGAUUGAAAUAGUUUAUAUGAGGACGGUUCUCUGCUGGUCAAUGCCUCUAGGAAUCAAGGCAGACUGAGGAAAAUGUGGAAGCAUCAAUUAAUUGGUAUGUUUUGGCAUUGUAAUGAAACAUUUUAACUGGAAUCAAAUCAAGGAAAUUUUUGGAGCUACCCAAAUCAAACAGGCUCCUCUGAAGAAGACUAAAUCUAAGUUGGAACCCUAUAAAGCUUCAAGAGUGAAUUGGAAAUUAAGAGUCACUGAGGGCCUUUCUUGGACAUGACUACUUAAGUCCUACAUUUUCUCAUUGUCCUUGCAAUGAGGAUGUCUAAUCACAACAUGGCUGCCAUUCUUAAAACACCCAUUUCACUGAAGCGCAAACUGAUGAAAUGGCAAAUGGACAAAGAUGAGACCCUAAGACAAAACGGGGACCAGAUUUGUGUCACAAAACAAAUUCACUGAAUGGUCUUGUUUUGUCAAUAUAUAAUGUUGAAAAAUGCCUUCUCCUCAUGGCAAAAAGGUUACCAAAAUCCAGCAGCAGGGGGAAAACUAAUUAAGAUAGAAUUUAAGAUGCGGGGAGGGGAUCUAAAUGUAUUUUGAAUAGUGAGGAAAGAAUCAAAGUUAUUCUCCAGAGGAAAACCCAUUUUUAAUCCAGGGGAAAACCCCUUUUUAGAGAAUCCAUACAUAAAAAACUUCUAUGUCUUCUUUUUCUUGUACUUUUUAAAAAAUAGUCCUACCUUUGUACCACUUUCCACUUCUCUGAAGGAUGCUGCAAAUAAAAUGGAAACG